rnacentral:rRNA from 1 species
GAUGAACGCUGGCGGCGUGCCUAAUACAUGCAAGUCGAGCGAACAGAUGAGGAGCUUGCUCCUCUGACGUUAGCGGCGGACGGGUGAGUAACACGUGGAUAACCUACCUAUAAGACUGGGAUAACUUCGGGAAACCGGAGCUAAUACCGGAUAAUAUAUUGAACCGCAUGGUUCAAUAGUGAAAGACGGUUUUGCUGUCACUUAUAGAUGGAUCCGCGCCGCAUUAGCUAGUUGGUAAGGUAACGGCUUACCAAGGCAACGAUGCGUAGCCGACCUGAGAGGGUGAUCGGCCACACUGGAACUGAGACACGGUCCAGACUCCUACGGGAGGCAGCAGUAGGGAAUCUUCCGCAAUGGGCGAAAGCCUGACGGAGCAACGCCGCGUGAGUGAUGAAGGUCUUCGGAUCGUAAAACUCUGUUAUUAGGGAAGAACAAAUGUGUAAGUAACUAUGCACGUCUUGACGGUACCUACUCAGAAAGCCACGGCUAACUACGUG